CAAACAAAUAAGUACUACUCCCUCCGUCCGGGUUUAUUAGGCCUCUCAGCAUCACAAGCAUGUCCCUUUUUAUAAGGCCUUGCUUUGGAAAGGUGCAUGCAUGCAACCAUUUCAUCGGUUGUAUUGAAAGCCAUUGUUGUUGGUGCUAUGGCUGGGAAAUUAA